UUUAGCCCUUUAUUUUCAGAAUAAAAGAAAAAAAAGGGAAACUGCAAAAGGCAGAAAAGAAGGCGGAAAAAUGUAAAACCUAAGAGGUGGACGAUAAGAACAUGAGAAUCGGGCUGAUGAACCCAAUCAAAUCGAGGAUCGAACUCCUGGAAAAUUUUCGACGAAGAAAAAGGAUCCAUUGGCGUUGCGUUUCGAUUUUCCUCUCAGGUAUCGGUCAACGAAGAGGUAGAAUUGGCGAUUUGGAGCCGACCAGAGUUUAAUUUAAAGCAAUUUGGAGUUGAUUUGAGCAUCCGGGCUUCAAAGGAGUUGGAAUUGCCAAAUUGCCAUCGAGUUCCUUCGAGUAUUCUAUAUUUUUAUUAAUGGCAUCAAGUAUAAGUGAAUAUAAUCAACCAUUGAGUAAUUGAGUAAAUUGCCAUCGAGUAUCAUCGAGUAAAAGGUUGUCGAGUAUAAUUGAGUAAACGAACGUCGAGCAUCGAGUAAAGGACCAUCGUGCAUUGAGGAUCGAGUUUUUGAUAGAAUGUUCAGUGUUGCACCAUUUUCCCUGAUGCUUGUGACCCUCUUCUAUCUCCAACACUGCGAAGAUUUUUAUAAAUACCUCCUUUCGUCUUUAGGUCAAAAUAUGCUGAAUUUUGAAGGCCAAACCGAUGGAGGUCAAAGUUGAACUUCAAUCUUCUUCCUUUCCCUUUAGAAUUUAGUAUCUUUAGGUUAGUUUUUCUUUUCAUUUUGGUUGUAAUCAACGGAUUGGAUGUAUAUCUUGAAUUUGUCUAUGAAUUAAGAGUAACUCCUAUCUAAUUUCUUUUGAGCAAAAGCACAAUGUUUAAUUUC